rnacentral:rRNA from 1 species
AUUGAACGCUGGCGGAAUGCUUUACACAUGCAAGUCGAACGGCAGCACGGACUUCGGUCUGGUGGCGAGUGGCGAACGGGUGAGUAAUGUAUCGGAACGUGCCCAGUCGUGGGGGAUAACGUAGUGAAAAUUACGCAAAUACCGCAUACGAUCUAUGGAUGAAAGCGGGGGAUCGCAAGACCUCGCGCGAUUGGAGCGGCCGAUAUCAGAUUAGGUAGUUGGUGGGGUAAAGGCCCACCAAGCCAACGAUCUGUAGCUGGUCUGAGAGGACGAACAGCAACACUGGAACUGAGACACGGUCCAGACUCCUACGGGAGGCAGCAGUGGGGAAUUUUGGACAAUGGGCGAAAGCCUGAUCCAGCCAUUCCGCGUGCAGGAUGAAGGCCCUCGGGUUGUAAACUGCUUUUGUACAGAACGAAAAGGUUUCUACUAAUACUAGGAGCUCAUGACGGUACUGUAAGAAUAAGCACCGGCUAACUACGUGCCAGCCGCCGCCGUAA